CAACCUUCCAGAAAAGGACUGUUCAAAGGAACACUUAAAUCCCUCCGACAGGCCCUCUGGUGGUGACGUAUAAGUGCUUUCUCAGUACUUUCUCUCGCUUUUGGACAAAUCCAAGUGCUGUAUCUGUACCCGAAUAGAAAUAAAGGAUUUUAAUGAAACAGUUUUCUUCCGCUCUGAAAGUGAACGAAUGACAAAACAGUCUAGAAAAUUCCUCGCCCUGCUGCAGAAGAUCAAUCCUGGGUUGUGCUCACCAAAUCAAACCUCUUUUUUGUGUAUUCAGUGUCUUAACUAUGUAAAAGACAACUAUAACAGGGUGUACAGUGCUGUUUCUGAAAUUGACGAAUCCUCUUGUGAUGAAGAUUGAAGAAGCUAUUGCCAUCCAAGUGGAAAAAGUCCCGCCUUUGUCACCCUCCUCGAAUAGAACUUAGAAAAUGUGGAGACUUUCUUCAUUUAGUUCCCAAUCAAGUGGACCAGAUGUUGAUUUGUUUGAAAUGGACUGAGACUUGUGUUUCAUAUGCCAGGUUGAACAGACGUUAGAAACGAAAAAGGAUAGUCUGAUUCAAGGAAAAGAUAAAAGUUUCUUCGUCGAUUUCGCAACAUACUAUCUGUGGACAUCUACAGAAAUCGUCAGGAUCUGUGCAACAUCGAUGUUAAUCCUGAUUCGCACAUGACCAAGUGCCCUGUUCUUAACCCUGAGAGUCUCGGAAAAUAUCUCUAUAGCAAGCUAGGUAGAUAUCACAAAACAUGUCGUUUGAGGUACAGCAACUCGAGGGUGAAACAAUUGAAGGGUAAAUUAUCUGAAGCUGUAAGUUUAAAACCUGUCUCUAAGGCAGGUUUUUAAAUGGAAAGACACGUGUCCACGCACGACAACACCAAUGCUGCAUUAAUGAGUGCAGGUAUUGACGCUGUACGGACCUUUUAACUGGAGCAGGAGAAUGUUUUACCAGAACUGUACCUCGUGUCUGACCCGAAGCUUAAGUACAAUGACUAUGUGACGUCUAAUUUAUCUGAGAACGCUGCAAACUCCAGCAAUGUUUAAUCUGAUCACAUCAGUUUUCAGAAAGACAAUGUCGGUAAGACGAGUUUGUUUCGACAUCUAAUCUUGCCGCAACAAUAGAUGCGGAUAGAGAUGAUAACACUUUAACAAAGACAGCACUCAUAAAGGAGAUUAGAAAAGAAAUCUUUCAAUGUAGAAACGAAUUCUAUCAGCUAUGUUCGAUUUACUGAUCGGUGGCAUCUGUAGAAAUAUAGUGUUUAUGUGGAUUAAUCUGUUAAAGCAGGGCUAUUGUAUCAUUUUAACAUUAACUUUGCAUAGU